UAAUGUAUUAUUUUUUUGUCAUGUUCUGAAAUCAGACAAAACUAGGUUAGAAGAGUGAAUUAUAUCCAGAUGUCACAUCUAUCCUGUAGCCCAGUUGACUACUAUUCGGAAUAAUUUUUGUGAGCUAUUGCCGAUUGGUUGCACAAUCUAUCAGAAAGAGGAUUGGAGACAAGUGAAGACACUUUAACUUCUUGGCUUGAAGGGAUCAAAGAAACAGAGCAAAUUAUGAUAGAUAAAGAAAUAUGUGAAGCAGUACAAUAAGAAGAAAGCCUGGUAGAAAUAUUGGAGGCACCAACUUCUACAUCUAUAAAAGCUAAACCAGAUAAAGCAUUUAAUUAAACAAUUAAUUGUUUCAAUACCUGCAUAACAUGGGCAGAAGAAAACGGCACAUCUGCCAAAGAUAUACAAGGGACAUGAAAAGACUACAAGCUGCACAAAAGCAUACCGCAAUUAAGGAUUACAUAUUUUAAAACUUACAUACAUGUUAAUUUUGAGAUAUGUUACAGUUACUAUAAAACCUAUCGAACAAGAACACAAAUAUGUACCUACAUACAUUAUAUGUAUUCUCUUUAUGAAA